GGCAGCAGCUAAGAAUAUUCCGCAAUGGGCGAAAACCUGACGGAGCGACGCCGCGUGGACGAUGAAGGCCGGAAGGUUGUAAAGUCCUUUAGUCUGUGAGGAAUAAAGAGGAGAGGGAAUGCUUCUCUGGUGACUGUAGCAGAAGAAUAAGCACCGGCUAAUUACGUGCCAGCAGCCGCGGUAACACGUAAGGUGCAAGCGUUGUUCGGAAUUAUUGGGCGUAAAGGGCACGCAGGCGGUGACGCAAGCUUGGAGUGAAAUGCCGGGGCUUAACCCCGGAACUGCUUUGAGAACUGCGACACUGGAGUCAGCGAAGCGGAACCGGAAUUCCAGGUGUAGGGAUGAAAUCUGUAGAUAUCUGGAAGAACACCAAUGGCGAAGGCAGGUUUCGGGCGCAUGACUGACGCUCAGGUGCGAAGGUGCGGGGAGCAAACAGGAUUAGAUACCCUGGUAGUCCGCACAGUAAACGAUGUACACUAGGUGUCUGGCUAAACAGCUGGGUGCCAAAGCGAACGCGAUAAGUGUACCGCCUGGGGAGUAUGCCCGCAAGGGUGAAACUCAAAGGAAUUCCCUCGGACAG
rnacentral:rRNA from 1 species